UACUCCCGCCGGCGACCGGCGCACGGGUGAGUAACACGUAUGAAACCUGCCCGUAGCAGGGGGAUAAGCGGAAGAAAUUCCGUCUAAUACCGCGUAACAACCCGAGGAGGCAUCUCCUCGGGUUUAAAGGAAGCGAUUCCGGCUACGGAUGGUCAUGCGUCGCAUUAGCUAGUUGGCGGGGUAACGGCCCACCAAGGCGACGAUGCGUAGGGGUUCUGAGAGGAAGGUCCCCCACAUUGGAACUGAGACACGGCCCAAACUCCUACGGGAGGCAGCAG
rnacentral:rRNA from 1 species